rnacentral:rRNA from 1 species
GAUGAACGCUGGCGGCGUGCCUAAUACAUGCAAGUCGAGCGAACGGACGAGAAGCUUGCUUCUCUGAUGUUAGCGGCGGACGGGUGAGUAACACGUGGAUAACCCACCUAUAAGACUGGGAUAACUUCGGGAAACUGUAGCUAAUACCGGAUAAUAUUUUGAACCGCAUGGUUCAAAAGUGAAAGACGGUCUUGCUGUCACUUAUAGAUGGAUCCGCGCUGCAUUAGCUAGUUGGUAAGGUAACGGCUUACCAAGGCAACGAUGCAUAGCCGACCUGAGAGGGUGAUCGGCCACACUGGAACUGAGACACGGUCCAGACUCCUACGGGAGGCAGCAGUAGGGAAUCUUCCGCAAUGGGCGAAAGCCUGACGGAGCAACGCCGCGUGAGUGAUGAAGGUCUUCGGAUCGUAAAACUCUGUUAUUAGGGAAGAACAUAUGUGUAAGUAACUGUGCACAUCUUGACGGUACCUAAUCAGAAAGCCACGGCUAACUACGUG